AUACGGAGGGUGCAAGCGUUAUUCGGAAUCACUGGGCGUAAAGGACGCGUAGGCGGGUUGGCAAGUCAGAUGUGAAAUCCUACAGCUUAACUGUAGAACUGCAUUCGAAACUGCUAACCUAGAGUAUGGGAGGGGGAGAUGGAAUUAGUGGUGUAGGGGUAAAAUCCGUAGAUAUCACUAGGAAUACCGAAAGCGAAGGCGAUCUCCUGGAACAUAACUGACGCUAAGGCGUGAAAGCGUGGGGAGCAAACAGGAUUAGAUACCCUAGUAGUCC
rnacentral:rRNA from 1 species